GCCCUCGUAAGCUAACGGAUAAACUGCCAGACUUCUAUACUGGACUUGGAAGUUCGAAUCUUCCCGAGGGCACCA
rnacentral:tRNA from 1 species